rnacentral:rRNA from 1 species
ACCCGCUGAACUUAAGCAUAUCAAUAAGCGGAGGAAAAGAAACCAACAGGGAUUGCCCCAGUAACGGCGAGUGAAGCGGCAACAGCUCAAAUUUGAAAUCUGGUCCCUAGGGCCCGAGUUGUAAUUUGUAGAGGAUGCUUUUGGUGAGGUGCCGCCCGAGUUCCCUGGAACGGGACGCCACAGAGGGUGAGAGCCCCGUCUGGCUGGCCGCCGAGCCUCUGUAAAGCUCCUUCGACGAGUCGAGUAGUUUGGGAAUGCUGCUCAAAAUGGGAGGUAUAUGUCUUCUAAAGCUAAAUAUUGGCCAGAGACCGAUAGCGCACAAGUAGAGUGAUCGAAAGAUGAAAAGCACCUUGAAAAGAGGGUUAAAUAGUACGUGAAAUUGUUGAAAGGGAAGCGCUUGUGACCAGACUUGGGCGCGGCGGAUCAUCCGGGGUUCUCUCCGGUGCACUUCGCCGCGUCUAGGCCAGCAUCAGUUCGUCGCGGGGGAAAAAGGCUUCGGGAACGUGGCUCCUCCGGGAGUGUUAUAGCCCGUUGCAUAAUACCCUGCGGUGGACUGAGGACCGCGCAUCUGCAAGGAUGCUGGCGUAAUGGUCGCCAGCGACCCGUCUUGAAACACGG